CCUUAUUUACCAAACAUAUGCGUUCAGCAUAUGCCAAAUGCACCCUGAUAUCUCUUUCUCUAAAACCAAAGGGUUUGAAAGAAGCCUUAGCCGCCUGAGAGAUUUCUUUCUCUCUCCUCAUCAUCUACGGUAAAAAAAUGGCAAAUAGACAGACGUAUGGUGCUUUUACCGGCUGUGUAUAGCUGAUUUGAGGAAGCAUUUAAUGCUUCUUGAACGAAUCCACCAUAUAUCAACUAAAAGAGGUAGAGAUUCGACCUUCUCUCUUGAUUUUAUGAAUUUACGGUCAAAGAACUGAAAAUCCUUAAUAGUUUUUGUUGUAUUUGAUUUUCAAACUCGCAAUUUCUAUUGGUCCUCACAAUUUUACAAGGAUCUUUGUGAAUCAAUUAGUCCCACAUCGAUUUCAAACAACAAUUUGGUGUUUUGGGGGGUUCUAUAUAAAGAACUCCAACCCUUCACAUUUAACACACCGAAUAUCUGGCAUAUUCACAAAAAACUCAAUACUAGGAUUUUUAACUAGUGACCGACAUUAGAAUUGGACACUUUGUUAAAUUUUUCUUAGUUUUUGUCAAGCAAUAGUUUAAUUUUAAUUCUUCUUGUUUAUGGCUGAGUCUCGAGGUCGAGGAUUGCAAGGAAGCUUCCAAUUUCAUUCUCGAUCAGGCUGCGCGUAGAAAAGACUACUUGGGCCAGUCUCCUCACUCAAAGCCUAUUGGGCCAGAGGCCCAACUUCCUUUUUUCUUGAUCAAGUCUUAACCAUAGACGAAAAUAAGAAGGCUCAACCAUGGGUGAAAAUGGUCAACAGGUGGGCUUAGAUUUGGUGCCUAGUGCCAGUGGUCUGCGAGACUAUCCAGCUGCUGCUCGUUGAGGAGGUCAUUCUGAAGAGUUUGGGGUGAGCUACAUGCCGAUUCGUAGCACCGAAUCCUCUCCGUCUACCUUUACAUUCUGUCCUUACAUUUCAGACAGUUACUUCUACUCUUUCAAACUGGUACUCUUACAUUAGAGGUUCUUGUACUAGAAACACCAGAUUUUUGGAGUUGCAUUUCUUACUUUAUGUUAUGACUAUUGUAGGUUUUAAAAACUAAAAUUUGACUUGUAAGAUAUUUUCGCUUGCUUAAUCUAUCUUUUGUUA